rnacentral:rRNA from 1 species
GACGAACGCUGGCGGCGUGCUUAACACAUGCAAGUCGAACGAAGUGGCGCACGGGUGAGUAACGCGUAAUCAACCUGCCCUUCAGAGGGGGACAACAGUUGGAAACGACUGCUAAUACCGCAUACUGAAGGAGGGGAUUGCGUCUGAUUAGCUAGUCGGAGGGGUAACGGCCCACCAAGGCGAUGAUGGGUAGCCGGACUGAGAGGGAGACCGGCCACAAGGUGACUGGGACACGGCCCUUACUGCUACGGGAGGCAGCAGUGGGGAAUAUUGGAAAAUGGACCAAAGUCUGAUCCAGCAAUUCUGUGUGCACGAUGAAGUUUUUCGGAAGGUAAAGUGCUUUCAGUAGGGAAGCGGUACCAACAGAAGAAGUGACGGCUAAAUACGUGCCAGCAGCCGCGGUAAUAC